rnacentral:rRNA from 1 species
GACGAACGCUGGCGGCGUGCUUAACACAUGCAAGUCGAACGGAAAGGCCCUGCUUUUGUGGGGUGCUCGAGUGGCGAACGGGUGAGUAACACGUGAGUAACCUGCCCUUGACUUUGGGAUAACUUCAGGAAACUGGGGCUAAUACCGGAUAGGAGCUCCUGCUGCAUGGUGGGGGUUGGAAAGUUUCGGCGGUUGGGGAUGGACUCGCGGCUUAUCAGCUUGUUGGUGGGGUAGUGGCUUACCAAGGCUUUGACGGGUAGCCGGCCUGAGAGGGUUACCGGCCACAUUGGGACUGAGAUACGGCCCAGACUCCUACGGGAGGCAGCAGUGGGGAAUAUUGCACAAUGGGCGGAAGCCUGAUGCAGCAACGCCGCGUGCGGGAUGACGGCCUUCGGGUUGUAAACCGCUUUCGCCUGUGACGAAGCGUGAUUGACGGUAAUGGGUAAAGAAGCACCGGCUAACUACGUG